UGGGGAAUAUUGCACAAUGGGCGCAAGCCUGAUGCAGCCAUGCCGCGUGUGUGAAGAAGGCCUUCGGGUUGUAAAGCACUUUCAGCGGGGAGGAAGGCGUUAAGGUUAAUAACCUUGGCGAUUGACGUUACCCGCAGAAGAAGCACCGGCUAACUCCGUGCCAGCAGCCGCGGUAAUACGGAGGGUGCAAGCGUUAAUCGGAAUUACUGGGCGUAAAGCGCACGCAGGCGGUCUGUCAAGUCGGAUGUGAAAUCCCCGGGCUCAACCUGAGAACUGCAUUCGAAACUGGCAGGCUAGAGUCUUGUAGAGGGGGGUAGAAUUCCAGGUGUAGCGGUGAAAUGCGUAGAUAUAUGGCGGAACACCAGUGGCGAAGGCGGCUCUCUGGUCUGUAACUGACGCUGAGGCUCGAAAGCGUGGGGAGCAAACAGG
rnacentral:rRNA from 1 species